UUUCCCGUCUUCGAGGACGCCGUGCCGGGCCAGUGUUAGCCUCCAGCCCUGGUUUUGGAAGGCGACAGAAGUCAUGGCGAUGUUUGAGCAGAUGAGAGCCAACGUGGGCAAGUUGCUCAAGGGUAUCGACAGGUACAAUCCUGAGAACCUGGCCACCCUGGAGCGCUAUGUAGAGACGCAGGCCAAGGAAAAUGCCUAUGAUCUGGAAGCCAACCUGGCUGUCCUGAAGCUGUACCAGUUCAACCCAGCCUUCUUUCAGACCACGGUCACCGCCCAGAUCCUGCUGAAGGCCCUCACCAACCUGCCGCACACAGACUUCACCCUGUGCAAGUGCAUGAUCGACCAGGCACAUCAAGAAGAACGGCCAAUCCGACAGAUUUUGUACCUUGGGGACCUGCUGGAGACCUGCCACUUCCAGGCCUUCUGGGCUUCUCUAUUCCGCUUCCUUCUCUUAAAUCGCAUGUGCUGGCUGGGCAUGGUGGCUCACACCUGU
rnacentral:sRNA from 1 species